CAGUCGCCGCGGUAAUACGAAGGGGGCUAGCGUUGCUCGGAAUUACUGGGCGUAAAGGGCGCGUAGGCGGACAAUUAAGUCGGGGGUGAAAGCCCGGGGCUCAACCUCGGAAUUGCCUUCGAUACUGGCUGUCUUGAGUGUGAGAGAGGUGUGUGGAACUCCGAGUGUAGAGGUGAAAUUCGUAGAUAUUCGGAAGAACACCAGUGGCGAAGGCGACACACUGGCUCACUACUGACGCUGAGGCGCGAAAGCGUGGGGAGCAAACAGGAUUAGAGACCCGAGUAGUCCCUGUCUCUUAUAC
rnacentral:rRNA from 1 species